UACGAAGGUCCCAAGCGUUAUCCGGAUUUAUUGGGUUUAAAGGGUGCGUAGGCGGUUUGUCGCGUCUGCUUUGAAAACCUAAGGCUCAACCUUGGGCUUGCAGUGGGUACGGGCAGACUAGAGUGCGGGAGGGGUGACUGGAAUUCCUGGUGUAGCGGUGGAAUGCGCAGAUAUCAGGAGGAACACCGAUGGCGAAGGCAGGUCACUGGGCCGCAACUGACGCUGAGGAGCGAAAGCAUGGGGAGCGAACAGG
rnacentral:rRNA from 1 species